AUGGCGACCGGUUCCUGCUCAGGCAACGAUGCUGGAACCGACGGACUAGGGAGCUGCAACCGGCACAUGACGAUGCUGGAACCAGUGUCCCCUGAUGUUGGACCGCACGCGUCCUGGACAGGUGACACAUUUUUUGCUGGAACCAGCCUUUAUUUUUGCUGGAACCGUCUUUCUUUUUUUGCUACAAUGGGCACUAGUCUUUUUUUUUGCCUGAGGCUAUUUUGCUGGAACCAGCAUUACUUUUUGCUGGAACUGGCUAAUUCAUUUGCUACAAUUGGCUUAUCGCUUUUUGCUGCUGAGAUUUUUGCUGGAACCACCAUCAAGUUUUGUUGGAACCGGCAAAUCUAUUUGCUUCAACCGAGUACCAGAGGUUUUUGUUGCAUUCGAUUUUUGCUGGAAAUAGCAUCAAGUUUUGCUGGAACCAGCUAA
rnacentral:rRNA from 1 species